rnacentral:ncRNA from 1 species
GUAGAGUCUAUGAUAAGAAGAGUAGUUUAAUUAAAACCUAAAGCGAGCAGGAGUUUGGUGAGAGCCUGUAGGAGCGAAAUUAAAUGAAGAGAGCCUUUGAGACAUUAUUUGAAAGCUUAAGGUAAGUAAAAUAAAUCGCAUUUCAGCGUUAAAGAAUUGAGUGGCAUUUAUGCAACAAGAGUGGUACCGCGGAUAUUUCGUCUCUUUA